rnacentral:lncRNA from 1 species
GAGGAACCUGAUCCUCGGUAGCGAAGGGCUGGAGGCAAACACCGAGCUCCCCCUGAGCCGCCUGGGAGCAGGGAGGGUUCUGCUACCCUGAGGUGCCCUCCCCGCGGGGCAGAGGGUGGGAGGAAGUCACAGCAUGUGCUUCUGAACCUGUGCUUGCCUUGAGGAACAACGGCAUGACACGGGGAUGUGGACGCUUUCAACCAGAAGAUUCUGUACGAUAGUGUCGGCACACACUCAUCCUCGUCUACGGCCAAACGUUGGUUUCUCAUUUCUAGAAUGAAAGAUGUGAUGACUUAGGGAAAACUUGCUGCUCGAGAUGUGAGUCUUCAGAUGUUCCUGCCGCCAUAUCUGACAGCUGCUGCCAAGAUUCCCUGGUGGGAUGGACUCUUAUACCUCGACAACCAGAAGCCCAAGUAAACUCUUCUAUAAAUUGAAUGACUCAUGCUUAAAAA